GAUGAACGCUAGCGACAGGCUUAACACAUGCAAGUCGAGGGGCAGCACAGGUAGCAAUACCGGGUGGCGACCGGCGCACGGGUGAGUAACGCGUAUGCAACUUGCCUAUCAGAGGGGGAUAACCCGGCGAAAGUCGGACUAAUACCGCAUGAAGCAGGGGCCCGCAUGGGGAUAUUUGCCAAAGAUUCAUCGCUGAUAGAUAGGCAUGCGUUCCAUUAGCUAGUUGGUGAGGUAACGGCCCACCAAGGCGACGAUUGGUAGCCGGACUGAGAGGUUGAACGGCCACAUUGGGACUGAGACACGGCCCAG
rnacentral:rRNA from 1 species